GUAGGUGGCAAGCGUUAUCCGGGAAUUAUUGGGGCGUAAAGCGCGCGCAGGCGGUUCUUUAAGUCUGAUGUGAAAGCCCACGGGCUCAACCGUGGAGGGUCAUUGGAGACUGGAGAACUUGAGUACAGAAGAGGAAAGCGGAAUUCCACGUGUAGCGGUGAAAUGCGUAGAGAUGUGGAGGAACACCAGUGGCGAAGGCGGCUUUCUGGUCUGUAACUGACGCUGAGGCGCGAAAGCGUGGGGAGCAAACAGGAUUAGAUACCCUGGUAGUCCACGCCGUAAACGAUGAGUGCUAAGUGUUAGGGGGUUUCCGCCCCUUAGUGCUGCAGCUAACGCAUUAAGCACUCCGCCUGGGGAGUACGGCCGCAAAGGCUG
rnacentral:rRNA from 1 species